rnacentral:rRNA from 1 species
AGCAGCCGCGGUAAUUCCAGCUCCAAUAGCGUAUAUUAAAGUUGUUGCAGUUAAAAAGCUCGUAGUUGAAUUUCGGGGUCAGUAGGUUGGUCGUGCCACCGGUACGUACUGGUCUCACUGAUUCCUCCUUCCUGAAGAACCGUAAUGCCAUUAAUUUGGUGUUGCGGGGAAACAGGACUGUUACUUUGAAAAAUUAGAGUGUUUAAAGCAGGCUAACGCUUGAAUACAUUAGCAUGGAAUAAUGAAAUAGGACGAUCGAUCCUAUUUUGUUGGUUUCUAGGAUUGACGUAAUGAUUAAUAGGGAUAGUUGGGGGCAUUAGUAUUCAAUUGUCAGAGGUGAAAUUCUUGGAUUUAUUGAAGACUAACUACUGCGAAAGCAUUUGCCAAGGAUGUUUUCAUUAAUCAAGAACGAAAGUUAGGGGAUCGAAGACGAUCAGAUACCGUCGUAGUCUUAACCAUAAACUAUGCCGACUAGGGAUCGGAUGAUGUUAAUUUUAUAAUGUACUACAUUCGGCGCCCU